GACGAACGCUGGCGGCGUGCUUAACACAUGCAAGUCGAGCGAUGAAGCUCCUUCGGGAGUGGAUUAGCGGCGGACGGGUGAGUAACACGUGGGUAACCUGCCUCAUAGAGGGGAAUAGCCUUCCGAAAGGAAGAUUAAUACCGCAUAAGAUUGUAGUGCCGCAUGGCAUAGCAAUUAAAGGAGUAAUCCGCUAUGAGAUGGACCCGCGUCGCAUUAGCUAGUUGGUGAGGUAACGGCUCACCAAGGCGACGAUGCGUAGCCGACCUGAGAGGGUGAUCGGCCACAUUGGGACUGAGACACGGCCCAGACUCCUACGGGAGGCAGCAGUGGGGAAUAUUGCACAAUGGGGGAAACCCUGAUGCAGCAACGCCGCGUGAGUGAUGACGGACUUCGGAUUGUAAAGCUCUGUCUUCAGGGACGAUAAUGACGGUACCUGAGGAGGAAGCCACGGCUAACUACGUGCCAGCAGCCGCGGUAAUAC
rnacentral:rRNA from 1 species